rnacentral:rRNA from 1 species
UACGUAGGGUGCGAGCGUUGUCCGGAAUUAUUGGGCGUAAAGGGCUCGUAGGCGGUCUGUUGCGUCAGGAGUGAAACUCGGGGCUUGAACCCCGAGCCUGCUUCUGAUACGGGCAGACUAGAGGUAUGCAGGGGAGAACGGAAUUCCUGGUGUAGCGGUGAAAUGCGCAGAUAUCAGGAGGAACGACCGGUGGCGAAGGCGGUUCUCUGGGCAUUACCUGACGCUGAGGAGCGAAAGUGUGGGGAGCGAACAGG